ensembl:lncRNA
CUUGGUGUUGCUAGCAUAGAUUUGUAAAUAUAAUAUACACAUAUAUUUUAUGCUCAUAAAGAGAGAAAUGGCAUGCUAUUUUGAUUCAUGUGUUUUAUAUGUGAAGUUUAUAUUUGGUUAUUAUGAUUUAGUUUACUUUAGCCCCAAAUUAAUAUUGUCAUUAUUUACUCACCCUUAUGUCAGAUAGUAGCAAAAAGUAAAAUUUCAGUUUGCUCUUCACAAGAAGCUCCAAGACUUAAAUAAGCAGAAUUAAAUAAGAAAUACAGUGCAUGAGACAUACUACAUUUAAAGUGUUUUUAUGCUCAGCAGAUCCUGCAAAAAUAUCUUCUUUCAACAAAGAACAUAAUGGCACAUGCAUUUGGAAGAACGAGAUGGCUACGGUGAAUCCAAAGUGCCAUGCCGAGAAAUCAGGUGGACAGCGGCUAAUGAGAAUCACUGGUCACGUGAUCCGCAGGGAUGGCCCAUACUGCGCCGGAGACACCCAGGCAGGUGUUAGGAGUCACGUUGCUAUGGAAACUGAGAGAUGACACCUCCAGAGUUCUGUCAGUGCAGGAUUAGCCUCAUGCGGGCGCUAACAAACCUACAGCAUCUCGACACAAAUUAGACUGGAAUGAUCCAGCCCCCUCUGACGCCAGCAAAGGAGAAGAACAUGCACAUGUUUACAUUCCAGGCGUUUGAUUACGUCUUAUCAGUACAAGAUGACACUGAAGUUCAUGGUAAUGUCACUCUUAUAGUUGCAGCAGGGCUGCCUUGUAGAAAUUUAAAAAUAUAUUAGGGCUGUCAGUUUAACACAUUUAUUUAUAAUUAAUUAUUUAUGGAAAAAUAAUGCAAUUAAAAUAUUUGAAUGCACCUGCCCCACCCCAAAACUGCAAGUCAUCUUACAUUCCAUUCAGCUGACUGUUGACAAACAUGAUGCAGGGCAACAACUAUUUAGUCCAUAAAUGUAGUUAUGUGCCCCUGAAAUUCAAGGUAUUGAAAAAAUGCCGCUGUACGAGUUCUUGUCUCAUAUUUGUAUCGAUCACAUGAGCAGCAAGAGCAAUAUCACAUGAGUGCUGUUUUUGUCCCAAAUAGCAUGAGUGCAAAUGUGAUUUUAUACAACCGUUCAGUAAAUACGAAGUUAAUAUUGUGUUAUAUUAUAUUGUCUGUUUUUACUCAGUUUUACUGCCACAAAUAUUACCUAUUAAAACCACAGCAGAACUGUUGUGCAUCUCCAAGCAACACAAUUACGGAAUGAAUCCACAUAUUGAACGAAUCGGGUGAUUCAGUGAUUCAGUGGCCAAUUCAUAAAGAGAGCCAUUUACUUAAUUCCUGAAUGAAUCAGCAGGAUGAACAAAUUGAAAUAGUGAAUAACUCAAUGACUUAUUAAAAUAUUUGGAAUUGAGCACAGAUCUAGAUAUUACAGUUCUGGUGAAGAUCUAACUAGAUGAAUCAAUUCUUACAAAAGUUAUUCAGUCAAGAUCAGUGAGUGAUUUUUCUUUUUCUUUUGUUCUAUGAUUAACAUUGAUAGCACAGACAGCAGCAGGAAUAGACUGCUGUCACUUUAAGACCUGAUGCAUGAAUCAAAUAUACUGUUACACAUGAUUUUUUUAUUUCAAAAUUUGUGUGUCUUUACAAAUCCAAAGUUCUUGGAAAUUCAGAAGGGGUUCUAAAAUGGAACCAAUCCUACUGGUAUUUUAAAAUAUUUUUUAAUUAAAGUUUCUUCCUUUUCUAUCUUAAAGUAUCUGUAUUUUGGAUUCCUGAGUUUGCUGAGGUUCUUAGUAGGUUCUUAGUUCAACACAUAUUUGAUCUUUAAUUCUAUAAUUAGUUUGCUAAACCUAUCUGGCUUCAUACUAACAUUUUAGAAGCUGUCGACACUUGCUACAGUAACAGUAUACAGCAUUGACGUGGACAGAGCAGUGAUCUCUAAAUCAGUAUUUGCAAAAAUAAUCCGCAUGUGACUCCAGCGUUUCUGUGACAGCUAUUCUGUAAUCAUCCGACCUCACAAUGGAAUCACAGGACAGCCUGGAGUCACACAUGAUUUUAUCUAAGACAGAAGGCUUCACUUGUCCCUCACGCCAAGUUCCCGAUCUUCACAUUCCAGCGUCGCAUUCCCCCAGUCACAGGCUUGCGGUCCCUGAUUUGAGUUGUUCUGGUGCACAGGCCCCCUGCGCUGAGAGUCUAAUGUCGGGUCUAGCAUAAGGCCCUGUUCUCUUUGGCCAUAUAAGGAUCCUUUGAGAUCUCUUGUUAGCUGUGUUAUUCUUAGUCUGUUUUCAGUGUGAAAUAAUGACAUCGCCUGGAAGACUUGCCAUGAAUGGAGCUGGAAGCGAUGUAGAAAACACUUUCCUGGUUUACACUUUGAUAUCGAGGAACUGAGCAGCUGGUUCUAGUUGUGUUAUUGUUAUUGGAAGUCCGUUGUGUUAGUCAGAACUGCAUGUUUCUGAAAAACAUUAAUCACGGGUGUUACUGUGACAAAUCAGCCUUUAAAUGAGUCACUUCUGGAGGAAUUAUGUUAUCUUUUUGAGAUAUUCCGAAAGUUCUUUGUACUAGGAAAACAGUACAGUUAGUUUUAGAGGUUAAAGUCAACAUGAAUUUCUAUUUUCAACCUAUUUUAUGUUUGUAAUUUGAAGCAUUUCCAAUUAAAACAGUAUAUUCAAUGAGAAAAAUGGUAAGCCAAACUGUGUGCAUGGAUGCUAAAACGAUGCUAAAGCUUUUAUACAAUAAUCUGUGCAGUCAAAAUAAUGUCAGAGGAAACCUUUACAAGAGGAAAAGUAGACCUGACAGAAAACAUGCUGAACAACCAAAGUUCUGUUAAUUAAUUAAAUGUAAAGUGGCCAUUUCAUAACAAAACUUUGUUUUUUUUAUUAUUACGUUUGAUAGUUUUAUAUAUAUUCACUACCCCUCAAAACUUUUAUGCUCAUCAUACAGUUUUUUAAUUGAAUAUUUUAAAAAAAAUAUAUAUAUAUUCCUGCGAUGCAAAGCUGAAUUUUCAGCAUCAUUACUCCAGUCUUCAGUGUCACAUUAACGUUCAGAAAUCUUUCUAAAAUGCUGAUUUGCUGCUCAAGAAGGUUUUAUUAUUGUGGAAACUGUGAUACAUUUUUUAAACCUUUUUUGUUGUUGUUGUUGAAUCGAAAGCAUUUAUUUGACAUACAAAUCUUUUGUAACAUCAUCUUUACUGUCACCUUUAGUGUCUGCUUUGCCAUUAUUUCUUUAGAGGGUGGGGUUUUGGAGAGAAGCUGUGUGUUUUUUGUUUGCAAAAUGUUACAAUUAAUGACAAUAAAUUGCAUACAGCACCUUUAAUAUUGUUUGAG